UCUAUGGACUGAGACCUCUGAAACUGUAAGCCCUAAAUAAACUUUUUCUCCUUUAAAAUGAGUCUGGUAGAGUAUUUUAGUCACAGCAGUGAAGAAAACUGAUUAAAAUACCCCAUUCUCUGAGAUGGGGUCUACUGUCUCCUUGAUGAUUCUGUAAGAUCCUCUUACCAUGAGAAUCUGAUUAUAAUUGUGCAUUUUGUUCUUUCGCGUCUAUAAAAUAUAAUUUCCUCAGGAUCAGAGAUGGUAUCUUUUCCAUUUUCAUGACUAACUCCUCGGGCCUCACUGAAGCCAGUACUGAGUCCAUGAGUGGGCAGAUACUGCAGCCACCUGAUCUGAACUCCCAGUGUGGCCUCUUCUUAGCUUUGUUACUUAGUAAAAGUUAACUUGCCUUUCUGUGCCAAAAUGUCCUCAUCUGUAAAGAGGGAUAAUAAGUGUAUUUUCUCACAGCACUGUGAACAUUAAGUGAAUUGAUACAGAUACCUUACUUAGAACAUGUCUGACACCUCUUUUAGAGUUAGUUGUCAUUCUGCUUCUGCACCGUCAGUGACAGGCAUAAUGUAGGUAAUUCACAAACUUUGUUACAAAAAUAAAUGGAUAAUUAAACAUCAAAUAUAAUGAUUUUCAAUUACCCUCUCUUUAUUAUCUGAUUUUCUACCCCUUAUUGUUUAUAAUUGGCCCAUUCAUUCAAUAAGUAUUUAUUAUCUACUUCAAUAAAACUGAGAACUAUGUUGAAAAUAUCCACUUCAUUUUGUAACGAGCUUUGAGGAAAGAAUGUACCUGUCAUAAAAAUGAUAGAAUUGGGCAAAACUCAUUCUCCUUCUAGAGUGCUCAUAAUAAUAGCUUCCAGUUAAGUUUAAACUGGGAGCUCUCUGGAGUCUUUACAAAGAUAAAGAAAAUGAUUACAACUUCUGAUGUUUUCUUCAUUUCCAAUUUGUGGGAGCUUUUUACCUUCUUUUAGCACCUCACCUAACUAUUAUGCAACCAAGAUCAAAGCAAGUUCUUAAGAAAGAAGUAAAUCUACUGUGAAGCCAGUUAUUUCCUAAAGCUGCAUCUGAAAGGCAAACCUCAGGAUAAAACUGACCAAGAGAAAAGACUCAAAAAUGCUACAAGAAUAAGUAGAAACUUCUAUGAAAUUAAAACUUGCCUUUUCCAAAAAUUCCACUAAAACCAACAGAUAUUCUUAAACAUCGGAUUGCCCCAGACUGUACUUCUUAAUCUUUUCCCAAGGAAUUUGCCAAACUGAGCUGUUGUUCUCUAACUCACUUUCCUAUUGCCUUCCAUGAUGUUUUCUCCCUGUUUAUAUAUGUUCUCCUAAGUCCUGAAUACCAUCUCUGGAAAGGAAGGUUCUAGCAGCAUUGGGGAUGAAUGAUCUAUACUCUGCAUAUGCUGCAGGGAUAUGGAGGAGCUUGUGAAGGAGAGCCGUAAGACAGGAACAGAGAAGUCACCUCCUAAACCUCGCAAACCUAAUGCCAUCAAGUCAUUGUUCCGGGCUCUGCUUUAAGGGGAAUUUAAAUCAACAACCAGUGAAAGAGGAUAGAAUGCUGGAGGAGAGCGGCGCAGACGCUGAGGAUGAAGAGGCGCCUCACCGCAGGCAGAGGUCUGCUAUCCAGACCAGGACUUCUGGAAGGCACUGGUGAGUGAGGAGUAGGAGGCAGCCCCAGGGGCUGGAGAGCAGUUUGGGAGGCCUCGAGUGACUGCUGGAAAGGCAAGCAGGAGGAAAAUGCUAUCCAGAUACUUAGGACUUGGAAAGAUGAGCAUCGUGGAAUUUUAUGCCAACUAAUUUCAUGGUUUUUGUAACCCAGAGAGCUCGUCACUCGUACAGAUGGGCGUUUGGAUAUAUUCAGGAUUUAUCCUGUCUCUCCUUUCUCCCUUGCCAAUAAACCUUUCAUAAUUUA